rnacentral:rRNA from 1 species
UACGGGGGGAGCAAGCGUUGUUCGGAUUUACUGGGCGUAAAGGGCGCGUAGGCGGCCACCGCAAGUCGACUGUGAAAUCUCCGGGCUUAACCCGGAAAGGUCAGCCGAUACUGCGGGGCUAGAGUGCAGAAGGGGCAACUGGAAUUCUCGGUGUAGCGGUGAAAUGCGUAGAUAUUAGCAGGAACACCGGUGGCGAAGGCGGCUAUCUGGACGAGCACUGACGCUGAGGCACGAAAGCGUGGGGAUCAAACAGG